AGCGAACGCUGGCGGCAGGCCUAACACAUGCAAGUCGAACGAACUCUUCGGAGUUAGUGGCGGACGGGUGAGUAACACGUGGGAACGUGCCUUUUGGUUCGGAAUAACUCAGGGAAACUUGUGCUAAUACCGAAUGUGCCCUUCGGGGGAAAGAUUUAUCGCCAUUAGAGCUGCCCGCGUCUGAUUAGCUAGUUGGGGAGGUAACGGCUCACCAAGGCGACGAUCAGUAGCUGGUCUGAGAGGAUGACCAGCCACACUGGGACUGAGACACGGCCCAGACUCCUACGGGAGGCAGCAGUGGGGAAUCUUGCGCAAUGGGCGAAAGCCUGACGCAGCCAUGCCGCGUGAAUGAUGAAGGUCUUAGGAUUGUAAAAUUCUUUCACCGGGGACGAUAAUGACGGUACCCGGAGAAGAAGCCCCGGCUAACUUCGUG
rnacentral:rRNA from 1 species